GACAUAGGUCGCAAACGUUAUCCGGAAUUAUUGGGCGUAAAGGAUGCGUAGAUGGUUCAAUAAGUUACUGGUGGGAAAUCGAGGCUCAACCUCGUGGAAGUCAGUAAUACUGUUGAACUUGAGUGCAGGAGAGGUUAACGGAACUUUAUGUGGAGCGGUAAAAUGCGUAGAUAUAUGAAAGAACAUCAAUAUGGCGAAGGCAGUUAACUAUUCUGUUACUGACGUUUGAGGCAAUGAAAGCGUGGGGAGCAAAACGG
rnacentral:rRNA from 1 species